rnacentral:misc_RNA from 1 species
GAUGAAGAACGUAGCGAAAUGCGAUACUUGGUGUGAAUUGCAGAAUCCCGUGAAUCAUCGAGUCUUUGAACGCACAUUGCGCCCCCUGGUAUUCCGGGGGGCAUGCCUGUCCGAGCGUCAUUGCUGCCCUCAAGCACGGCUUGUGUGUUGGGCCUCCGCCCUCCUCCCGGGGGACGGGCCCGAAAGGCAGCGGCGGCACCGCGUCCGGUCCUCGAGCGUAUGGGGCUUCGUCACCCGCUCUUGUAGGCCCGGCCGGCGCUUGCCGACACAUCAAUCUUUUUUCCAGGUUGACCUCGGAUCAGGUAGGGAUACCCGCUGAACUUAAGCAUAUCAAUAAGCGGAGGA